rnacentral:rRNA from 1 species
AACGAACGCUGGCGACAUGCUUAACACAUGCAAGUCGAACGCGCCCUUGGGCGUUCGGCCUGGGGGUGAGUGGCGCACGGGUGAGUAGCGCGUGGGAACCUGCCCUGUUGUGGGGGAUAACCGAGGGAAACUUCGGCUAAUACCGCAUACGCCCGGUGGAGCGAUCCAUCGGGGAAAGAGUUUAUCGCAGCAGGAGGGGCCCGCGUCGGAUUAGCUUGUUGGUGGGGUAACGCCUACCAAGGCGANGAUCCGUAGCUGGUCUGAGAGGAUGAUCAGCCACACUGGGACUGAGACACGGCCCCAGACUCCUACGGGAGGCAGCAGUGGGGAAUAUUGGACAAUGGCGCAAGCCUGAUCCAGCAAUGCCGCGUGAGUGAGGAGGCCUUAGGGUUGUAAAGCUCUUUCACCCACGACGAUGAUGA